rnacentral:lncRNA from 1 species
AUGGUCGGGGAGAACAUUAAAGCCACGGCUUCUGGUCUUCAAAUCAAACAACAGAAAACCCCACAACGCUCUCUCCUUCGUGGAGACGACAGAAAACCCCACAACGCUCUCUCCUUCGUGGAGACGACAGACAACCCCACAACCCCUCGUGGAGACGAGGGUUGGUGCCUGCAGCUGUGGCCUCUUGUGUGUCCUGCCUCUGUGAGCAGGUGGGCAGGAGGGUAAGGCCAUCAGGAUCCCGAAGAGCCUGUGUGGCUUCCAGCAGCUCCACGGCUGUUCACGUGAGUUAGGAAUCCAGGCCCCGGCACACCUUACCCAAGGUGAAAAGUGCACGCAGCUGACUCUUCCCAACAGCUCUCGUGGGAAGCUGCCCAUGAGGCACAAUGCAACGCCGGCUGGAACAGAUAAAGGCCUGUGUGUAACUGCGUGUCACAACAUGGACGCUCUCACAGACACGAAAGCGUUGUACCGAGCCAUUCUGCUCCGUUGACAGAGAAGAGCAGGCAGCACAGAUCUGUGACGUAAGAGUCAGAUGAUGGUGGCCGCAGGAAUGAGGGGACAGGGCAGGCAGAGGCUGUGGCCAACCGCAGGAGCAUUCACUCUGUGGAGAUUCUCCCAACUCACACCUGUGACGCCUACACAUGUUCUCGCCAGCGAAAACUGAAACCCAAACUGGCUGUUCAUGUCAAUAUGGUGUCUACAUUUUUUUAAAAGCCCUAAUCACCUGUGAACAUGACUUUGUUAUUUCUUCUGUGGUGAAGUGAUCCAGAAGGCAGCGAGUCAAGACUUCUCUUACAUUGUUUAAAAUCGAAACUCUAAAGCAUCAGACACUCCUUGAUCGCCCUUAUGUGCUGUGGACGUGACUUGACAUUUCAUUCUGUGGUCCAGCCAGGCAUGAGGACAAUGAGUGUUUCAUCUACUCGUCUUUUUUUGCUGGCACAGCAUCCCUCUCAAGUUCUUAGGACCAGAUCUUCAGUUAUAGUAAUUCCCCCGCACCCCGAAAACAAAACAAAAUAAAAUGAAGAUGAGCAGGAGCUUUUCUAAAACC